GAAAAAAGGAAAUCACAAUUCAAAGUCUGCCUUGGCCAAACUUGGUCCUUUUAAGGAAAGGAAAUUUCCCAGAGCCACCCUCGACAAACCUGGGGGCCUGAUCCUGCUGUGAGGAAUGUCUGUGCAAAUCCAGAGUGGCUCUGCUGCCUGCUGGGGGUUACAGCAGCUGAACAAGGCUCCAGCCUCAGAGCAAAGCUCCUGGUCUCCUGCCAGGAGAUGGAGCAGAGCUCACACCAGAGCAGCCUGAGAGCAAACUGGGGAUUCAGAGGCAAUAAACAGCAGAAAGAUCUGACUCCCCCUUUCAAGAAUUCACCCUUUCUGCUGAGCCAUGUUCUGGAGCACAAGCCCUGUUUUGCUGUGAGCUGCAUGGAAUAAAACAGCUGUGUCCCUUGGCUGGAUGGCUCUUCCAGGGGUGCCAGAUGUUUUGCUUAGGACACGUCAGAAGAGACUUGCUUGAGUUCAGACUUUUUUUCCUCUCAGGCUGUUUGCAGGAUCUUCACUGGGGUUUUAGGUUUUUUUUUUUAAUAUUUGCUCUCCAUCAGAUUUUCACAGGAAAGCAACAAGGAUUGGGAGCAAAUUGGGAAAGGUCUGGUUUCACCCCAGCCCCUCUUUGUAUAAAUAAUCCACAAGGGAAAAGCUGGAAUGAUGAGUAAAACACUUGUGCUGCCUUUUCACUGAAUUAAGGGUCUGGAUGUAACCCACUGUGUCCAUGUGCUUUGCUGAAGAGACCACCCUGGCACAUUUUAGGGGUCAGACCCCACAAAUGCCUGGCUGCCCCCAGCUCCCACAAGAUGGGAAUUUCAGCUGCCAAACCAGCCGUGGGGUGUUGUGGAAACAGCACAAGAAAAAAAGUCCAGGACUGGACCCCAGCCACCAAACCAGGCUGCACGAGGCCACACGGCUCCCUGCAGGGUCAGGAAGAUGCGAGGUGCCCAGGACAACAUCUCUGUCACCAUCCUGGUGGGUAAGGGAGAUUUGGGAAUGUCCCCAGGGCAGGGCUGGUACAGCCAGUGCAGGCUGGGGGGUCACAGAGGCAACACAAGGGCCGGGGCAUUCGGGUGCUUUGUGGCCAGUUCCAAGGUUUUUACUGUAGGGCCAUGCGUUGCUCACUGAAAAAGGGGUUUUUUCAGAGAAAGGAGGAGGAGCAGGGAGGCUGGGCAGCGGGGAAGAGGAGGAAAAAUUUGGUGAAGGAGGAGGGGUGGCUUUCAUGGCUCCGAGCGCCUGCGGAGUGCGCGGCAGCCGGGAAGGAGAACCCUGCCCUGCAAACAAGCUGCUUUUGUUGUGUCCCAACCAGGCCUAAAUUAAGUUUGACAGAAAGAGGGCAAGAUUCCCCGGCGCUGGGGCAAGCCCUGGGCUCGGGUAAGGCCGUGCCAAACCUCGGUGCGAGGCGUGAACCUGCACGAGGCUGGAGGGACGAACCAUCCCGAGCCUUCCCAAAGCUUCCUCCAGCAGCGGCCGGGAACAUCCCGAGCUUUUCCAGGGCUUUCUCCAGCAGCAGCCGGGAACAUCCCGAGCUUUUCCAGGGCUUUCUCCAGCGGCAGCCGGCCCGGCCCCGAGGAGCUGUGGCUCCAGGAAAAGCCUCCGUUGUGCCCCGUCCCGUCCCGCCCUGCUGCGGGCAUCGCCCAGCCCCGCGCCCGCCCGGGCACGCCGUGCCAGCCCGGGGAACCAGCCAGCUUCUAAACAGUUAAUGCCGACAAAAACCAUGCGGCUUCAGUUCCCUCCUUCCCGGACCGCUCCUGGUGGAACUCACCCCCUUUUCAAAUGGAAUGAAAUUAAAUGAUCUUCCUGCUCUGACCUCGCCCCGCUGUCCUCUCGUCCUCCCUGUCCGUACAUCAGCUCCUGCCGUGCCCCCACCCUGCGCUGGCAGCAGCGCCCGUGCCCAGCGUCUCCCACCACGUUUCUCCGGCUGCCAUGUUGAAUUGCAAAUCCGACAUGAUUCCACACAUUCUCCCCGGUCGGUGCUGCCCGCUGGGCAACUUAAAGAGGCACCCGGGCGACAACGCCCAGCCCCGGGUGGCUCCUGGGGACGUCCCGGGUGGUGGGGCGAGGGCACGGAGAGAAAUCGCCCUCCAGUUCUGCUCCAAAUGCUGCACGUAGGGACCUGCCUAUCUGCUAUCUGCUAUACAUCCCUCUCUAAGAGACUGAUUAAAGUCGGGUGUUUUAGCACCAAGGGCCGGAGGACUCGGCGAGAAGGGAUUUCGGGGAGAAGGCAGGUUACAGCAACAAUAAAGCGACGGAGCAACUGGAGGAACAAAACGUUAUUUCAAAUCAAAGGCAAAAAAACCCCAACCGCACGGACCAAAAAAAAAAAAAAAAAAAAAACCAAAAAAAAAACAACCAAAAUUAAGAGUGAGGUUCGAUUUCGUACCAAGGCAGCAAGAGAGACGCACCGUGGAAGAGAGUGGUUUUGUUGUUGAGUAGUGGCUGGAUUUAGCUCCGCUUAUCCGGACAAUCAUCGGGGAAGGAUCCUUUUCCGAGAAAGGCCAGUUUGAGUGAGACAGCUUUUUUUUUUCCCUUCUCUCGCUCGCUCUCUCCCCUUUCCUUCUCCUCGCAGCUCAAUGCCAAGAAAUGGGCGGUGCCUGGAUGCCAGGCUCCAUCCGAACGAGACACCCAAGGCCAAGGGAGGCUGGCACAAAGGCGAGCUGGCAGGAAUUCCUGCACUCGGAGCCGCGCGCCCGCGGGACGAGCCCGCCGCCUCCCAAAAACCAACCUCCGACACCGCCCGCUCCGGAAAGUUGCCCCGUCAGGCUCGAAAACGCCCCAUGAGGCUCAAGCACAGGGCGAAAAAAAAGGACUAGGGGAGGAAAAAAACCCCAAGACCCCUCUUUGCAUCGACGCAGGUUAAACAAAAGGCCUGGGGAGGUGGAUUGGGUUUUUUCCGCCCUCCCCAUGCUCCUUUUCCCGCCUUCCCAUCCCUCUCCUCCCUCCUCUUGUCCUCCAUCGUUGUCUCCCUCGCUCGCCGCCCGGGCGUCCAGGCACAAAUGAGCCCUUGGCUCCCUCCUUCCUGGUUUUCGCACGACAGGAGGUGGCGGGCGCUUGAAUAGGAACACACACACCCAACGCGAGAGGGACCCGAUGGGGGCAGAAAAAAAAGGGGACAAAAUAUAUAUAUACACAUACAAACAACAACCCACCCGCCAUGGAGGCCGGAUGGGAGCAGUUGCUGCCGAGGGUGGCAGAUUGGGGGCGGUUUGGGUGCCAAGGGGUAUUUUUGGCCUUAUUCUGUUGCUGCCCGAGCACCUGGGUCGUGCCGAUUGUAAAAGGGAGUCGCGGCGGGUUGGGGAAGGGAGCGGAGGGGGGGCAGCUGGGGUUGGUAGCGCUGCUGGGGAGAUGCCAAAAAACCAAAACAAAACACGUUUUCAUUUUGUCUGCACCAGCCUGGGCGCAGGCGAGCGCGGGAGAGAGGGAGGGAGAGGGAGGCGCACGCCAACAGAAAGCCGCCGUGCUCAGAAGCGGGCCUGCGGCCACGUCCCUCCGCAGCCGCCCCAGCAGCCGUUCCCGCUCCUCGUCCCCCUCUCCCUGCCCACCCGGCUUCGCCUGCCAAGUCCGAGUUGGCACGGCUCCCCCGGCUGCGCCGAACAAAGCCGUCACCCAUCCCCGAGCCGGAGCUGACAGUAAGCAAAGUGACAGGCGCAUCUUCCGCAUGUUAAUCCAAACGGCGAGAAGGCGAGCGAGCGGCGGAGCCCCCCCGUGCCAUGCACACACAGCCCCCCGGCACCGAGCCGCCCACCCCACCCUUGGCACCCGCUGGCCUCGUGCGGGGAUGGCCAGGCCCCCGCCGGCGGGAGCACCGAAGGCUCCUCGUCGGCGAGGCUUAAAUCGAGCCGAAGCCCCGCUCGGCGGGCAAACGAGGCCACUCGGCAUCUGCUGUACCUGUUCCCGCUGCCUUCAUCUCGCCUUGGAACCGUGACAAGAGCGCACUCGCCUCUGGUGGGCUCUCAAAGCCGCGGGUCUGUAACCCUUUGCAGGAAGUUGGCACCGAUCCCAGUCCAAACCCAACGCGAAGGGAAAGGAGGGGAAGAGAAAUGGGAAGAGAAUAGCUCCAAGUCGGCAGGACAAUGCACGGGAAACGGGGAGAUUAGCGUAGCUCUCGAAAUCCAUCACGCCCGCCCCGUUUCUGAACCGUUCGCCCCCGCGCCUCGUCUUUUUUAAUUCUCCCAGCUCCUGAAUUAUUCCAGUCCACGAGCGGGAGGGGAGCGCACAGUCCGGAGUCCCUCGGAGCUGCCAAGAGCAUUGCAACAGGAAAGAAAGGAAGCGGGAGAGGGAGAGCCAGGCACAGCCCUCACAAUCGAGCAGCGAGAAGAGCAAGGAAAAAUUAACAUCCAAUUAGUGCCGUGUUUAACGAGGGAGACAGAGGCGGCUGUUGUUUUAUUGCCCUGUUCUUUUCAGGCGCAUCUGACAGGCAGCAGGGAAGGCACCCCUGCUCCGAGUGACGUCAUCAUAUUUUAUUUUUUAAUUAUUUCCCCCCUCCUCCCCCCCCCGUCUUUCCUUCUCUAAGUUUCGCACAGACAAUCUCAGCAACUCGGCCAGGGAAAUUCGGGACUUUCUCGCAUUCAAUCCACCGGCUCCCCCCUCCACCUCCAGCCUCCCCCCAUCCACCGACAGCAACCCCGGAAAAACAACAGCGCCAACCCACCCCAAAGUCUUUGUUCUUCCAAAAAGAAAAGAAAAAAAAAAAAAAAAAAAGAAAAGCAGCGUUGGGAUGCGAGCUGGAGGUUUCUCCGCGUGUGCGUCCGAGUGUGUGCGUGCGGCGCUCGGUCCCUCUCCCGUCCCUCUCUCCCCAGACGCUCGCUCGCCUUGUAAAACUUUGCUGCCUGUGACGCUGCUCCGGCCUCCUCUGGCAGCCUGACAGGAGCCGCAGAGCGCAGGCGGCUGUGCAGGAGCAGCUCCAUUCCGAGGGAUGGGCGCGCUCACGGGUUUGCAGCCAGGGCCAGCCCUGGAGCCAGGCCGCGGCCACGCCGGCCCAGCCUGGCCUGGGCCACAGCGGGCAGGGGCCGAGUUUAAAGCUGGAGAGACUCUGCCCCUCGUGUUCCUGCCCUGGGAUGGGGGCCCAGCCUGGUGGAAGUGCCCAGGGAGGAGUGCAGGAGGGCUCGGCUGACCUUGUGCUGCCACCUCUUCCCGAAAGGCCUGGAUGGCCUCAGGGUGGGAUGAAGCAGCACCGGCUCCCCCUGAGAGCACUGCCCAGGAGGGAACAGGGCUGCUCCGUUUAGGGGCAUUUAGGGGAAUUUUCCC